rnacentral:rRNA from 1 species
GAUUGAACGCUGGCGGCAUGCCUUACACAUGCAAGUCGAACGGCAGCACGGGUGCUUGCACCUGGUGGCGAGUGGCGAACGGGUGAGUAAUACAUCGGAACAUGUCCUGUAGUGGGGGAUAGCCCGGCGAAAGCCGGAUUAAUACCGCAUACGAUCUACGGAUGAAAGCGGGGGACCUUCGGGCCUCGCGCUAUAGGGUUGGCCGAUGGCUGAUUAGCUAGUUGGUGGGGUAAAGGCCUACCAAGGCGACGAUCAGUAGCUGGUCUGAGAGGACGACCAGCCACACUGGGACUGAGACACGGCCCAGACUCCUACGGGAGGCAGCAGUGGGGAAUUUUGGACAAUGGGCGAAAGCCUGAUCCAGCAAUGCCGCGUGUGUGAAGAAGGCCUUCGGGUUGUAAAGCACUUUUGUCCGGAAAGAAAUCCUUGGCUCUAAUACAGUCGGGGGAUGACGGUACCGGAAGAAUAAGCACCGGCUAACUACGUGCCAGCAGCCGCGGUAAUACGUAGGGUGCGAGCGUUAAUCGGAAUUACUGGGCGUAAAGCGUGCGCAGGCGGUUUGCUAAGACCGAUGUGAAAUCCCCGGGCUCAACCUGGGAACUGCAUUGGUGACUGGCAGGCUAGAGUAUGGCAGAGGGGGGUAGAAUUCCACGUGUAGCAGUGAAAUGCGUAGAGAUGUGGAGGAAUACCGAUGGCGAAGGCAGCCCCCUGGGCCAAUACUGACGCUCAUGCACGAAAGCGUGGGGGAGCAAACAGGAUUAGAUACCCUGGUAGUCCACGCCCUAAACGAUGUCAACUAGUUGUUGGGGAUUCAUUUCCUUAGUAACGUAGCUAACGCGUGAAGUUGACCGCCUGGGGAGUACGGUCGCAAGAUUAAAACUCAAAGGAAUUGACGGGGACCCGCACAAGCGGUGGAUGAUGUGGAUUAAUUCGAUGCAACGCGAAAAACCUUACCUACCCUUGACAUGGUCGGAAUCCCGCUGAGAGGUGGGAGUGCUCGAAAGAGAACCGGCGCACAGGUGCUGCAUGGCUGUCGUCAGCUCGUGUCGUGAGAUGUUGGGUUAAGUCCCGCAACGAGCGCAACCCUUGUCCUUAGUUGCUACGCAAGAGCACUCUAAGGAGACUGCCGGUGACAAACCGGAGGAAGGUGGGGAUGACGUCAAGUCCUCAUGGCCCUUAUGGGUAGGGCUUCACACGUCAUACAAUGGUCGGAACAGAGGGUUGCCAACCCGCGAGGGGGAGCUAAUCCCAGAAAACCGAUCGUAGUCCGGAUUGCACUCUGCAACUCGAGUGCAUGAAGCUGGAAUCGCUAGUAAUCGCGGAUCAGCAUGCCGCGGUGAAUACGUUCCCGGGUCUUGUACUCACCGC